rnacentral:rRNA from 1 species
AAAGGAAUUGACGGGGGCCCGCACAAGCGGUGGAGCAUGUGGCUCAAUUCGAUGCAACGCGAAGAACCUUACCUGGAUUUGACAUAUAUUUGACAGUUGUGGAAACACAAUCUUCCUUCGGGACAGAUAUACAGGUGCUGCAUGGCUGUCGUCAGCUCGUGCCGUGAGGUGUUCGGUUAAGUCCGGCAACGAGCGCAACCCGUGUCGUUAGUUACUAGCAGGUAAUGCUGAGAACUCUAGCGAGACUGCCCGUUACUAAGCGGGAGGAAGGAGCGGAUGACGUCAAGUCCGUAUGGCCUUUAUAUCCAGGGCUGCACACGUGCUACAAUGGUCGGUAUAAUGGGAUGCGAAAUCGCGAGGUGGAGCAAAUCCUUAAAACCGGCCCCAGUUCAGAUUGGAGUCUGCAACUCGACUCCAUGAAGUCGGAAUCGCUAGUAAAGGCGUAUCAGCUACGACGCCUUGAAUACGUUCCCGGGCCUUGUACACACCGCCCGU